rnacentral:rRNA from 1 species
GAUGAACGCUGGCGGCGUGCCUAAUACAUGCAAGUCGAGCGAACAGACGAGGAGCUUGCUCCUCUGACGUUAGCGGCGGACGGGUGAGUAACACGUGGAUAACCUACCUAUAAGACUGGGAUCACUUCGGGAAACCGGAGCUAAUACCGGAUAAUAUAUUGAACCGCAUGGUUCAAUAGUGAAAGACGGUUUUGCUGUCACUUAUAGAUGGAUCCGCGCCGCAUUAGCUAGUUGGUAAGGUAACGGCUUACCAAGGCGGCGAUGCGUAGCCGACCGGAGAGGGUGAUCGGCCACCCUGGAACUGAGACACGGUCCAGACUCCGACGGGAGGCAGCAGUCGGGAAUCUUCCGCAAUGGGCGGAAGCCUGACGGAGCAACGCCGCGGGAGUGAUGAAGGUCUUCGGAUCGUAAAACUCUGUUAUUAGGGAAGAACAAAUGUGUAAGUAACUAUGCGCGUCUUGACGGUACCUAAUCAGAAAGCCACGGCUAACUACGUG